GAGUUUGAUCCUGGCUCAGGACGAACGCUGGCGGCGCGCCUAACACACGCAAGUCGAACGAGAGAGAGGGAGCUUGCUUCCUCAAUCGAGUGGCGAACGGGUGAGUAACGCGUGAGGAGACCUGCCUCAAAGAGGGGGACAACAGUUGGAAACGACUGCUAAUACCGCAUAAGCCCACGGCUCGGCAUCGAGCAGAGGGAAAAGGAGCAAUCCGCUUUGAGAUGGCCUCGCGUCCGAUUAGCUAGUUGGUGAGGUAAUGGCCCACCAAGGCGACGAUCGGUAGCCGGACUGAGAGGUUGAACGGCCACAUUGGGACUGAGACACGGCCCAGACUCCUACGGGAAGCAGCAGUGGGGAAUAUUGCACAAUGGGGGAAACCCUGAUGCAGCGACGCCGCGUGGAGGAAGAAGGUCUUCGGAUUGUAAACUCCUGUUGUUGAGGAAGAUAAUGACGGUACUCAACAAGGAAGUGACGGCUAACUACGUGCCAGCAGCCGCGGUAAAACGUAGGUCACAAGCGUUGUCCGGAAUUACUGGGUGUAAAGGGAGCGCAGGCGGGAAGACAAGUUGGAAGUGAAAUCUAUGGGCUCAACCCAUAAACUGCUUUCAAAACUGUUUUUCCUGAGUAGUGCAGAGGUAGGCGGAAUUCCCGGUGUAGCGGUGGAAUGCGUAGAUAUCGGGAGGAACACCAGUGGCGAAGGCGGCCUACUGGGCACCAACUGACGCUGAGGCUCGAAAGUGUGGGUAGCAAACAGGAUUAGAUACCCUGGUAGUCCACACCGUAAACGAUGAUUACUAGGUGUUGGAGGAUUGACCCCUUCAGUGCCGCAGUUAACACAAUAAGUAAUCCACCUGGGGAGUACGACCGCAAGGUUGAAACUCAAAGGAAUUGACGGGGGCCCGCACAAGCAGUGGAGUAUGUGGUUUAAUUCGACGCAACGCGAAGAACCUUACCAAGUCUUGACAUCCUGCGACGCACAUAGAAAUAUGUGUUUCCUUCGGGACGCAGAGACAGGUGGUGCAUGGUUGUCGUCAGCUCGUGUCGUGAGAUGUUGGGUUAAGUCCCGCAACGAGCGCAACCCUUACUGUCAGUUACUACGCAAGAGGACUCUGGCAGGACUGCCGUUGACAAAACGGAGGAAGGUGGGGAUGACGUCAAAUCAUCAUGCCCUUUAUGACUUGGACUACACACGUACUACAAUGGCGUUAAACAAAGAGAAGCAGGACCGCGAGGUGGAGCAAAACUCAGAAACAACGUCCCAGUUCGGACUGCAGGCUGCAACUCGCCUGCACGAAGUCGGAAUUGCUAGUAAUCGUGGAUCAGCAUGCCACGGUGAAUACGUUCCCGGGCCUUGUACACACCGCCCGUC
rnacentral:rRNA from 1 species